rnacentral:tRNA from 1 species
AAAAUCCGUCGUCUAGUACUUCUUCU